AUACGGAGGAUCCGAGCGUUAUCCGGAUUUAUUGGGUUUAAUGGGUGCGCAGGCGGGAGAUUAAGUCGGCGGUGAAAUUUUGCAGCUCAACUGUAAAAGUGCCUUCGAUGCUGGUUUCCUUGAGUGUGGAUGAAGUAGGCGGAAUUUGUGGUGUAGCGGUGAAAUGCUUAGAUAUCACGAGGAACUCCGAUUGCGCAGGCAGCUUACUAAACCACUACUGACGCUCAGGCACGAAGGCGUGGGGAUCAAACAGGAUUAGAUACCCUGGUAGUCCACGCAGUAAACGAUGAUUACUGGCUGUUUGCGAUACAAUGUAAGCGGCUGAGCGAAAGCGUUAAGUAAUCCACCUGGGGAGUACGUUCGCAAGAAUGAAACUCAAAUGAAUUGACGGGG
rnacentral:rRNA from 1 species